AACGAACGCUGGCGGCAUGCCUAACACAUGCAAGUCGAACGAGACCUUCGGGUCUAGUGGCGCACGGGUGCGUAACGCGCGGGAACCUGCCCUUAGGUUCGGAAUCAUUCCCCGAAAGGGGUGCUAAUACCGGACAAUGUCUUCCGACCACAGAUUUAUCGCCUUUGGAUGGGCCCGCGUUGGAUUAGGUAGUUGGUGGGGUAAAGGCCUACCAAGGCGACGAUCCAAAGCUGGUAUGGGAGGAUGAUCAGCCACACGGGGACUGAGACACGGAUCAGACUCCGACGGGAGGCAGCAGUGGGGAAUAUUGGACAAUGGGCGAAAGCCUGAUCCAGCAAUGCCGCGUGAGUGAUGAAGGCCUUAGGGUUGUAAAGCUCUUUUACCAGGGAUGAUAAUGACAGUACCUGGAGAAUAAGCUCCGGCUAACUCCGUGCCAGCAGCCGCCGUAAUAC
rnacentral:rRNA from 1 species